AUUGAACGCCGGCGGCAUGCUUUACACAUGCAAGUCGAACGGUAACAGGCCGCAAGGUGCUGACGAGUGGCGAACGGGUGAGUAAUGCAUCGGAACGUGCCCAGUCGUGGGGGAGAACGCAGCGAAAGCUGCGCUAAUACCGCAUACGAUCUGUGGAUGAAAGCGGGGGACCGUAAGGCCUCGCGCGAUUGGAGCGGCCGAUGUCAGAUUAGGGAGUCGGUGGGGUAAAGGCACACCAAGCCAACGAGCUGUAGCUGGUCUGAGAGGACGACCAGCCACACUGGGACUGAGACACGGCCCAGACUCCUACGGGGGGCAGCAGUGGGGAAUUUUGGACAAUGGGCGCAAGCCUGAUCCAGCAACGCCGCGUGCAGGAAGAAGGCCUUCGGGUUGUAAACUGCUUUUGUACGGAACGAAACGGCUCUCACUAAUACUGAGGGCUAAUGACGGUACCGUAAGAAUAAGCACCGGCUAACUACGUGCCAGCAGCCGCCGUAACAC
rnacentral:rRNA from 1 species